rnacentral:rRNA from 1 species
UACGUAGGGUGCGAGCGUUGUCCGGAAUUAUUGGGCGUAAAGAGCUCGUAGGCGGUCUGUCGCGUCUGCUGUGAAAACCCGAGGCUCAACCUCGGGCCUGCAGUGGGUACGGGCAGACUAGAGUGCGGUAGGGGAGAAUGGAAUUCCUGGUGUAGCGGUGAAAUGCGCAGAUAUCAGGAGGAACACCGGUGGCGAAGGCGGGUCUCUGGGCAGUAACUGACGCUGAGGAGCGAAAGCGUGGGGAGCGAACAGG